rnacentral:lncRNA from 1 species
UUAGAAUAUGUAAUUGCGGAAAUACUCUUUCCAUAAGUUACAUAUCCAAAGUCAUUUUAUUUUUUAACAUUUUCAUUUUAUCUCUUACUAGAGUGGCUCACGGUACAAGACCCUACCAAGGUCAUGUCUCUGUUUCGGGAAUCUAUUCUUAGCCAUCAUGAAAGUAAGAAUCCCUUACUUCUCAGCAUAAAUAUUAGAAAGAGCCCUGCUGAACAAGACGCUGCGCUCAUCUGCUUCUAUAAGAAGCCGAAUGUGGAAUGGGCAUGACCCUUGAAUUGCAGACUUGAAGGUAGCUUCAAUUUCAUGUCAAAGUAGUUAAAGCCUACCUUAAGUAUUGCUUUUCCCUUUUACUAUAUCAAACCCUCCAUUGUGUUACAGGUGAUGCAGCCAUUGGAGAGGGUGUGAGUCACUUUUUCCUCUCAACUUGCAUGAACAAGCUAAAGUCUGGGUUUUGCUUCAACUUUGCAAACACUGCUGUUACACAUCUCUUUGAUGGACAGCCAGGCCAUUUAGUGCCCUCAGCCUCUCAGUUUCUCGUGGAAAGUGACAUGUUCAUCAUGGCAGGCAGAAUGGUGGGGCACUCCUUUGUUCAUGGAGGACCAUGCCUGUCAGGGCUUAGUCCUGCUGUUGUGCAUGUCCUGUUUGGAGGAAGCCCGGAAACUGCAACAGUAACACCAGAGGACUGUCCGGACCUAGACAUCCGUGAAACAAUCAGGCUUCUUGAAGGGGAAUCUGAACUCUCAGACAAGGACAAAACAAGUGUCCAGGAGUUGGCCUACGCUUGGGAUCUCCCUGGCCUUACUGGAAAUAACCGAAGAUGGCUUUUUGAGAAGAUGUUGAUCCAUGCUGUAAUUGGACGUGUCACACGACAAAUCAAACAAUUCAGGCGUGGUCUUAAAGAGACACCAAUGUGGACAUUGCUGACCAAACGACCGGACACAGUGGCCCAGCUUUUUCCACAGGAGAGAGCAGUGGAUUGUGCCUCGCCUUUCGCUUCCCUCUCUGUCUUAAAGCUUGAAGGGAAUCUGAACUCUCAGACAAGGACAAAACAAGUGUCCAGGAGUUGGCCUACGCUUGGGAUCUCCCUGGCCUUACUGGAAAUAACCGAAGAUGGCUUUUUGAGAAGAUGUUGA